rnacentral:lncRNA from 1 species
CUGCGGUGGCUGUGCCCACGGGAGACCAGAAUCGGGUGGGAGUCAGCACCUGCCUGACCCGGCUGCAGCAUGCCAGACGCCGUCACCUGCUGCCUGGGCCCUGGAACCCUCCGCAAGAUACCAGCCAGGCCUCACGGCAGCCCUUGCUGGGCCCUGCAUUAACUCCCCCAGGCCUUGGACUCUGAGAGUUGGGACUCUCGUCUGGCCCAGGUGACAGAGGAGGAAACUGAGAAGCAGAGAGCCACGUGACUCACCUGUGGGUGGACUGUGGGAAUCGCCAAGCUCGGAUGAGAACCACGUGGGCAGUUCCAGGCCCGAGGCCGCCCACCCCGGGGGGAGAGGCUCCCCGGAGCAUCUGAGUCUGCAGCCCACUGGGGUGUCCGCCCGUGCAGCCACCAAGCCUGCUGGCCCUAGUACACCUCGCCACGCUCCCUCAGCCCGAGAGAGCCGGCCGGGCUGGCUGCAGCCCCAGAGGAGGUUCCCUCUCUUACCCAGAGGGGAGCAGGGUGAGCCGCGUGUCCACGGCACCCCCAGCCCAGAUCCCCGGAGCCCACAGGUACCUGUCGGGCGUCCUCCUCUUGCCGUUCUCGUUGACUUCCAGUAGCAGCUCUGAGGAGUCGAUGGGGGAGGAGGCGCUGGCGUCCAGCAGGAGCUGCUCAUGCUGGGCCAAGUACUGGGCGGGCGUCUGCUUGGCCAGGCGUGCACAGUGCAGGAGCUCCCGCUGCAGCAAGGGCAGGUUUGCCUGUGGGGUGGGGAAGGAGGGCCUGGGUAGCAUGCAGGGGUGCACAGCCCUGCUCAGGUCCGAGCAGAGGGGGCCUGGGCUGGGUGGCCGAAAGCUCAACUUGACCUCGGGCCUCAAAGGUCAAGGUGCUCGACCUCUCUGGGCCUCAAGUUCCUUCCUAGCAGUGCCAUGGGAGGGUGGCGUGGGAGGGUGGGCACAGAGCUUCGCAGGAGUGCCUCACCUGGGCCACACGGCGAUGUGGGGCAUGUGGGACUUGAGCCCAGAUCCUGGACUCCCAGGGUGGGGCUUUCCCACCGCACCCAGCUCCCUCCCAUGGCGUGGUCUGGAGAAGGCGAGAGGACGAAGGGGCAGCAGAUCAUGGUUGGUCUUCCCGCCUGCACCCGCCCUGCCCAGCAGGCACCACAUGACCCAACACAGCUGGGGAAAUGCAGGCUCAGAGAGGGGGAGGCAGCCCUGGGCCUACAGGCGGCUCACACGAGGGAGCUGGGAGUGAAACCCAGCUGGGAUUGCCUGCAGUGUGUCUGCUCCAGCCCUGAUGGGAAGCCCUGAGGUUCAGCUUCCCCUUCCCUUCCCGCUGGUUUCCAGCCUUGGCCUUGAUGGAGCGUGGACCUAGGACGUGGACACCCACGUUCUGUGGCUGCUCAAGUGAUCCUCCAGCCUUGGUGAGGACGGCCUCAAGACCCACGUGUGCGGGUAAAGACUCCGCAGCAUGCGGCCGAAGGACGGCCCGGUGUACGGGAUCCGUAUGCAGACCCUGCCUUUGACGCCUGUGUGUACCCGCGGCGCCCGCCGCCUCGUCCUUGGCUCCAGGCUGGCACUGCUGGGCCGCAAGCCGGGCUCCUCGGGUGCCUUCCCCAAAGUCUUCCCAGAGCUGCCGCGGGAGGGCGGACAGGCGUGCUGGACCCUGAGCAUGCUGGACCAGGGCCCAGCAGCAGGCCACUU